rnacentral:rRNA from 1 species
UACGGAGGGGGCUAGCGUUGUUCGGAAUUACUGGGCGUAAAGCGCACGUAGGCGGCUUUGUAAGUUAGAGGUGAAAGCCCAGGGCUCAACCCUGGAAUUGCCUUUAAGACUGCAUCGCUAGAAUUGUGGAGAGGUAAGUGGAAUUCCGAGUGUAGAGGUGAAAUUCGUAGAUAUUGGGAAGAACACCAGUGGCGAAGGCG